CAGCACUCAACGAUAGGCCUGUAGAGAUAUCAAACUCACAGAUGUCUUUAUAUAGGACAAAGCCAUCCAUUUUGUGCACCAAGAACCCCACCUGAGCCCAGAUUUGUUGAGAACAAUGCCACUCAAAGCAGUCAUCAAACCUCAUUCAUGCCGUCAGGCAUGAAAACCAGGUGCUGAAAAAUAGCACCAGGUGUGGUGCUGUGACUAAUUGGCCUGAACAGUCAGUGUAUGCCUGAGCUGGGUAAGUUCCUAUGUUUUAGUGGCUCUUGUUUUCUUGAUGUUGAUGCCUCUCCCUUCAGUGUGAAUCCAUCAUAAUCAAACAGUACAGGUUUGAUGACAAGAACUAUCAGUUGUAAAGCAGAGGGAGAACUGAGAUUUUCUUCUCUUCAUGCGGUUCAGUAUGUGUAGAAAAAGAAAAAAAAGAAAGAAAAGAAAGAGCCAACAACAAAACAGAGCCUUCAGGCUUCAGGCCUGCAACUGCCUACUUCAUAAGGCUGUCAAGUCACCCCAAGGUACUGCAGUUUAUCAAAUAAUUUCCUUUUUUUUUUUUUUUUUUCCCUCGCCAGUAUCAGAUGCAGGAAACCUGCCAGUGCAGGUUUUGCCUUAUUGGUUUAAAUUAAAAAAUAGAGUUUCUCAUGACUGAGUAUAAGGUCUACUG
rnacentral:lncRNA from 1 species